UACGUAGGGGGCAAGCGUUGUCCGGAAUUAUUGGGCGUAAAGCGCGUGUAGGCGGCUCGGUAAGUCUGCUGUGAAAGUCCAAGGCUCAACCUUGGAAAGCCGGUGGAUACUGUCGAGCUCGAGUCCGGAAGAGGCGAGUGGAAUUCCUGGUGUAGCGGUGAAAUGCGCAGAUAUCAGGAGGAACACCAAUGGCGAAGGCAGCUCGCUGGGACGGUACUGACGCUGAGACGCGAAAGCCAGGGGAGCGAACGGG
rnacentral:rRNA from 1 species